GACAGAGGGUGCAAACGUUGUUCGGAAUUACUGGGCGUAAAGCGCGUGUAGGCGGCUAAGUAAGUCGGGCGUGAAAUCCCACGGCUCAACCGUGGAAGUGCACUCGAAACUGCAUAGCUAGAGUCCUGGAGAGGAAGGUGGAAUGCUUGGUGUAGAGGUGAAAUUCGUAGAUAUUCGCAAGAACACCAGUGGCGAAGGCGGCUCACUGGCCCGGUACUGACGCUGAGGCGCGAAAGCUAGGGGAGCAAACAGG
rnacentral:rRNA from 1 species